CGGACGGGUGAGUAACGCGUGGGUAACCUGCCUCAUACAGGGGGAUAACAGUUAGAAAUGACUGCUAAUACCGCAUAAGCGCACGGUCUCGCAUGGGACGGUGUGAAAAACUCCGGUGGUAUGAGAUGGACCCGCGUCUGAUUAGCUGGUUGGCGAGGUAAGGGCUCACCAAGGCGACGAUCAGUAGCCGGCCUGAGAGGGUGAACGGCCACAUUGGGACUGAGACACGGCCCAAACUCCUACGGAAGGCAGCAG
rnacentral:rRNA from 1 species